UGGGUCAACGAUGACCAUUGGUACCCUGUGAGUCAUACAUCAUGAUUCCAGUUCUGGAAGUCUGUGGACAAC
ensembl:snoRNA small nucleolar RNA SNORD113/SNORD114 family